AGACAGACAGGUGUAAUCAGUAACCCACCACAGAGAGACAGACAGGUGUAAUCAGUCACCCACCACAGACAGACAGACAGGUGUAAUCAGUAACCCAACACAGACAGACAGACAGGUGUAAUCAGUAACCCACCACAGAGAGACAGACAGGUGUAAUCAGUAACCCACCACAGACAGACAGACGGACAGGUGUAAUCAGUAACCCACCACAGAGAGACAGACAAGUGUAAUCAGUAACCCACCACAGACAGACAGACAGACAGGUGUAAUCAGUAACCCACCACAGACAGACAGACAGGUGUAAUCAGUAACCCACCACAGACAGACAGACAGGUGUAAUCAGUAACCCACCACAGAGAGACAGACAGGUGUAAUCAG
ensembl:lncRNA